rnacentral:tRNA from 1 species
GCCCCCAUAGCUCAGCGGAUAGAGCGUUGCCUCCGGAGGCAAAGGCGCAGAUUCGAUUUCUGCUGGGGGCA